UUAACACAUGCAAGUCGAGCGCUUCCCUUCGGGGAGGAGCGGCGGACGGGUUAGUAACGCGUGGGAACAUACCCUUCUCUAAGGAAUAGCCACUGGAAACGGUGAGUAAUACCUUAUACGCCCUUCGGGGGAAAGAUUUAUCGGAGAGGGAUUGGCCCGCGUUAGAUUAGAUAGUUGGUGGGGUAACGGCCUACCAAGUCUACGAUCUAUAGCUGGUUUUAGAGGAUGAUCAGCAACACUGGGACUGAGACACGGCCCAGACUCCUACGGGAGGCAGCAGUGGGGAAUCUUGGACAAUGGGCGCAAGCCUGAUCCAGCCAUGCCGCGUGAGUGAUGAAGGCCUUAGGGUCGUAAAGCUCUUUCACCAGGGAUGAUAAUGACAGUACCUGGAAAAGAAACCCCGGCUAACUCCGUGCCAGCAGCCGCGGUAAUACGGAGGGGGUUAGCGUUGUUCGGAAUUACUGGGCGUAAAGCGUACGUAGGCGGAUUAGUAAGUUAGGGGUGAAAUCCCGAGGCUCAACCUCGGAACUGCCUCUAAAACUGCUAGUCUUGAGUUCGAGAGAGGUGAGUGGAAUUCCGAGUGUAGAGGUGAAAUUCGUAGAUAUUCGGAGGAACACCAGUGGCGAAGGCGGCUCACUGGCUCGAUACUGACGCUGAGGUACGAAAGUGUGGGGAGCAAACAGGAUUAGAUACCCUGG
rnacentral:rRNA from 1 species